rfam:Felis catus isolate Cinnamon breed Abyssinian chromosome C2, whole genome shotgun sequence.
GCCUGAGUGGCUCAGUCGGUGAAGUGUCUGACUUCAGCUCAGGUCACCAUCUCACGGUUAGUGAGUUCGAGUCCCACGUCAGGCU